UAUCUAAGGUGUAGAUUAUUAAAGGGCGUUUAUACAACUUCUCCUCAUAAAAAACAGAAUAUAGAUAUAUAUUGUGAAUGUAUAUGCACAUUUAUGUGUACAGACAGAUAAAACAACAUUUUGAAAUUUCAUUAAGCACAUGGAAGGGGAAUGGCAUUUGCUGCACCCAGGACUUAAGAGGGAAGUGUUUAAAGGGGUUGGUUUACACUGUUACUUCUUUCCUCAAGAGAGUAGGGAUCUCUUUCUAUAUAAAUCACAUUACAGCAUGGAUACUACUUCGAAUAAAGGAGUUCUAUUGGCUGUAACAUGCACUUGUUACACAAAAAUUAUGGGUGGAGAGCAAAUUCUCCUGGUAACCACAUGUUCAAGCUGCAAGCCUUAGCUAGCAAACAGGUUUUUAUCUACCAGAAGUGUAAACCCAGGAGCCUUUACUACUGUUCCAGAUUAAAGAAAAGCAAGCAACCAAAACCACGCAUUACGUACAGGAUGAGUGGCUUUACGCUCAUGAUUUCACUGGCUGGGUUUCUAAUUGCAAAACAAGGGGGUUUCCUGCAACUUGCAUGUUGGGUCUUGCGCCCAUCUUGCUCGUGGCCAGUCUGUCUUUUACUGGGGUUUUGCUUCCUAAUAAAGAAAUUAUUAACAGCCCAUUCACGACGUUUAAUUUUUUUUUUCCCCCCAAGGAGGGAUCAAGGUAAAAGCUAAAUUCUGCAUCUGGCUUUUCUUGUUUUUUGUCUGUCACAAUAUCAAUCAUGCCCUUGUUUUGCAUUGUCUUGCAACCAACUGUUUACAAUAAGCCAUCAAUAGCAAUCAAGGAUCUGAUUCUAUCUCUCUUGCUGCUGUUGAUUAAACAGGGAGAGUAUGAACCGAAGGAGAACUCGACUGCUUAAUCAAAACACAGUUUAUUUACACAAAAGGACGUAAAAUUUGCCCGUAGACAGGCCCAAAGAAAUGUGGGGGUUUUACCUGCAGGUUUAGUUUUCGCUCUAUUUAAUUAUUAACUGUUCCUGCUCUAAUCAAAAGGUUAAUUUAAAUCAUGGUGUUACGAAAGAAAAUUUUAGUCAGCUUCAGAAAUGCAUAUGGAUGAACGUGUGAUCUGUAGUUCAGGGACAGGAUCAAACACUGAACAGCCACAUUGGGUGAGACGAAGAUCAGCGCAGAUUUCUGUCUAGCUCUUAAAAUGACCGGGACCAGAUGUCUCAGAGGGAAGUUUAAAAUCUUCUCAGCAGACAACCUCCUACACGCACUGGCGCACCCCAUGAUGGCCAUCCAGCCCUGGCUUUGGAGGGUGAAAUCUCUUCACGUGCCGAGAGUAAGGAGAUUGGCACUGCUGAUGGAGGCAAGCCAGAACCUUCUCUAAUGCCGCAAAAUGCCUUCGAUAGCAUCUGCUCUCUCGUCAGCACGCAACAGUUCUCCAUCUGUGCCAUCCUCCAUCCAUACCCCAGGACCGCAUCAUCACCCCUUCGCCAAUUAGGCCACUACGCUGCUAAGGACAAUUUAAAUAAAGAGGCACGAAGGAAGAAUCUGUCACAGACUCACAGCCAGCUCCCGACAGCCUUCUACUCGCUCUGCUCAGGCUAUGAACACCACAAGAGUGUCCUUCAUGGACACUCACCACUGUUUUUCAGUUGUGACACGUAGUCCUUUGAAGAGGAAAGAGUCUGAAAAGCCUUUCAAACUAAAGAGCUCUUUUUGGUUUGCCAAGCCACACAGUGAGGCUAGGCCAUUACCAUUGUCUGCCCCCAAGUCAGUUUUGUGCUUUUCUCACUUAUGAUCCGUGGGGAGAUGCUGCCAUUGAUACAUCCAGGGUGGAAGGUACCAGCCACUUGGUUAGGAUGUCUUUUGGAGUUCGUUCAGUCACGGAGGAACCGCUGGCAAUGCACCACUGCCAUGCAGUACAGUCACAGCUCAGGCAUUGCACCUUUCAUCCUUGGAUUUUUCUUUGGUGCCAGAGGAUGGAAACUGAACUAGAUGUUGGGAACGGCUUGGCUUUCUGACUGCUGUAAUGAGCUCUUUCAGAGGAGAGUUUUCACUCCUGCCAGGGUCCAAUCUACUAUACCAGCUUGAGAUAUCGAUUCCCUGGAAACAUUUAUUUCUGCUCUGCUUGAAUUUCAGGAGUUGAUAAACUUUACAUUUUAAGAUAGCUUAGAUUUUCCCAUCAAUGUUGCUAAUGGAGGUAGUUGGUGUACUUACAAAUUUCUGCAAAUAAUAAUGGGCAAACUCCCUCCUCUGAUGUUAAAUUCAGAUCAUUUCUUACAACUCAGCCCCUGUUAGUUAUCUCCAUGGUACAGUACGGUGACACACAUGUCCAAACUUCAUCCAGGUAUAAUUUGAGAAGGUUUGAACUGACUACAUCAGGACUAGGACUUGUUUAUGUGUCUCUGAUUAGCCUAAAGAGUAAGAAUUCUAAACUGCUUGUUUAGCUGAUGGAGAGUGACAGACCUUUCUAGAUGCUGACCCAAAGUACCUAAACCAGAUGCUGAACAGAGACUUCUCCCGUCUCACUCAAAGUAGAAGAUCCAAGGAAGAAUGGUCUUCCUAAAAAAUCAGCCUUUAUGAAUCCUAUAUAAUAGAUCCAGUGGAAGAGUCCUCUGAAUAUUAUUAAGAGAUGAACCUAAACUAAACACUUUGCAGCAGAAUUUGUCUUGCAAAUGGAGAAAGCGAAAUUUGCAAAAUACAUCCUCAAUUUUUUAAUCAGUUAUUAUUACCCCCAUGUAGCCAACGGAAAUCUACUACGGACCAGGGAAACACAAGUCCAAGGCUGUUCCUGUCCAAAGGAAUCGUCAUCAGAGCAGACCACUCAUGAGAUGUUAAAUAAAGUACGCCUUGUAAUUUCUUUUCCUAUAUCUGACUGAAAAUGUUCCUCUCUAAUUCCUAACACCUGCCACCUUUCAUACAGUCCUCCAGUAAGCUGUUUGUCAAUGUUGGUACAAUUGUUCACUGUACCGAAACCAAUCUUCUCUCUUUCAACACAGUGCUUUGUGAGACACAAUGUCAGAUGUUUUAUUACACUCUAGACAUAGUACAUCUCUGGUAACUAUUAAUGUUUUUUUAUCUCCUCAGAAAAAUGUGACAUAACCUUAUAUGAUUUUAUCUCUGGAAAUUCAUGUGUGUGCUGGUCAUUAUUCUUUCAUACUUCAGAUAUGCAAAUACAUCCUUUUCUAUCAUUUGUAUCGAAACAUGCAACUUACUGAAGGGUAAAGGUGGGAUUCCUUGCUUCAUUUUUUUAAAGAAUUACAUCCUUUCGCCCCUAUACCUCUCUUGUCAAUUUACAGGUUUAUCGUCUCUUUAGCUAGCUAUACAGAUAUUUG